rnacentral:rRNA from 1 species
AUUGAACGCUGGCGGCAGGCCUAACACAUGCAAGUCGAACGGUAACAGGAAACAGCUUGCUGUUUCGCUGACGAGUGGCGGACGGGUGAGUAAUGUCUGGGAAACUGCCUGAUGGAGGGGGAUAACUACUGGAAACGGUAGCUAAUACCGCAUAACGUCGCAAGACCAAAGAGGGGGACCUUCGGGCCUCUUGCCAUCGGAUGUGCCCAGAUGGGAUUAGCUAGUAGGUGGGGUAACGGCUCACCUAGGCGACGAUCCCUAGCUGGUCUGAGAGGAUGACCAGCCACACUGGAACUGAGACACGGUCCAGACUCCUACGGGAGGCAGCAGUGGGGAAUAUUGCACAAUGGGCGCAAGCCUGAUGCAGCCAUGCCGCGUGUAUGAAGAAGGCCUUCGGGUUGUAAAGUACUUUCAGCGGGGAGGAAGGGAGUAAAGUUAAUACCUUUGCUCAUUGACGUUACCCGAAGAAGAAGCACCGGCUAACUCCGUG